rnacentral:tRNA from 1 species
UCCCUGGUAGCCUAGAAGUUAAGGAUUUGGCAUUGUCGCUGCUAUAGCUCAGGUUCAAUCCAUGGCCUGGGAA